AUGUUGACCAUUCAUGUGAUUGUUGCAUCUAUAGAAAGGAGUUUUUCUAAACUCAAGUUCUUAAAGUCAUACUUGCAUUCUACUAUGACACAAGAGAGACUUAAUGGAGUGGCGACAAUAGCACUUGAAAAUGAUGUCUUGGAGAAGAUAAAGUACAAAGAUAUGAUUGAAGAUUUUAUUUCAAAAAAUACUAGACGGAUGCUCCUUUUUUGGUAG
rnacentral:rRNA from 1 species